rnacentral:misc_RNA from 1 species
CAUUCUCAAAACCUUCUCGGUUUCUCGACUGGGAAGGCUUUGGACUUUGGAGGCUUUUGCUGACCUUCCUUUGUUGGAACCAGCUCCUCUGAAAUGAAUUAGUAGGGUCUACUUUGCCGAUCCUUGACGUGAUAAAAUGUUUUCUACGUCUCGGGUUUUGCACUGUUUUGUCCUGGAUCCUGCUUCUAACCGUCUCUCAGAAGACAGAUGGUCGAGUGAAUGUCGCUCGACCCACGAA